CAAAAACAUGUCCUUUAGAAUUUAAUUUAAGGUCUAACCUGCCCACUGAAAAGUUUUAAAUGGCCGCAGUAUUUUAACUGUGCAAAGGUAGCAUAAUCAUUAGUCUUUUAAUUGAAGGCUUGUAUGAAUGGUUGGACGAAAUAUUAACUGUUUCAUAAAAAUUGGUUUAGAAUUUUAUUUUUUAGUCAAAAAGCUAAAAUUUUUUUAAAAGACGAGAAGACCCUAUAGAUCUUUAUAAUUUAUUUAUUAUAACUAUUUAGAUAAUUUAGGUUAUAAUUGUAUAAAUUAUUUUGUUGGGGUGACAUUAAAAUUUAAUUAACUUUUAAUAUUUUGUUACAUUGAUUUAUGAUUAAUUGAUCCAUUAUUAAUGAUUAAAAAUUUAAGUUACCUUAGGGAUAACAGCGUAAUUUUUUUGAAGAGUUCAUAUCGAUAAAAAAGAUUGCGACCUCGAUGUUGGAUUAAGAUAUAAUUUUGGGUGCAGCAAUUCAAUUAUUAAGUCUGUCCGACUU
rnacentral:rRNA from 1 species